rnacentral:rRNA from 1 species
GACGAACCGUGCGAACGUUGUUCGGAUUCACUGGGCUUAAAGGGCGCGUAGGCGGGCGGUCAAGUCGGGGGUGAAAUCUUUCCGCUUAACGGGAAGCGUGCCUCCGAUACUGGCCGCCUCGAGGGAGGUAGGGGCAUGUGGAACUUCCGGUGGAGCGGUGAAAUGCGUAGAUAUCGGAAGGAACGCCGGUGGCGAAAGCGACGUGCUGGACCUCUUCUGACGCUGAGGCGCGAAAGCUAGGGGAGCAAAC